rnacentral:lncRNA from 1 species
CACAAACUUCUCGGUUUACUCAUGUGGCAGGCGAUUAUUCUGGUAGGGUCAGAGAGUCCCAGGAGACUAAGGGGGGUGUCUGUAUCCCCAUCAUCUUGAGGACAGAGAGGAGAUCCCAGGCAUCUGAUCCCCAGGUCCUGGAUAGAGUAAGUAAGUUAGGGGUAAGUGCGGGAGCUGAGAACAGACAGAGGACUGAAGACAAUGUUCAAAGUGAACGAGGCCCCAGCUUGAUGUGAUUUUUCCCUAACAGGUCGUGUCACGUGUAUCACAACUUAAGGUAAGCUUUGUCCUUGUUCCUCCCCAGAGCUUAACCUCAGGACUGAGGCUUGCCAGGUUAUGUGGGCUGGGCUCGUGGCUCUCUGGUACUGCCCUGGACCAUUGCAGCCACCGUGGGACCAGGCAAAGGGAGUGUGUCUGUAGCUAGGCUCCCUUCUCUCCCCAGGACAGUAUUAAUGAGAACCUGCUGGAUGCCCUCGAUCUUCUUCAUGAGAGCAACAGCCCAGACUCCACUUCUCUCCCUCCUCGGGUGAAGCUGGAGUUACGUCAAAGAAUCCAGGGUGGCUCUGGCUCCUUCUCUGAAGAUGAGGAUCUUGAGAGCCUGACGUCCCAGAAUGGUGGACAUAAGAUGAAAAAUGCCUCCUUGGAGACUGUUAAAUCCAAAAUGAAACUGGAAUUCCAGACAUUCCUUGAUGAUAUCACAGUUUCGUCCUCAGAAAAUGGAGAUGACCUGUCAAGUGAAGACCAACCUAAGUUUUGGGAUGAGAUGCUGAAAUGUUUCCAGGAGAAGCUGCAGUGGAUGAAGAAGAAGUAGC